GGAAGGAUCAUUAACACUCCGAUCCACACCAAAACAAACCAAGCGAAUUGUUGAAGUCUUUUUUUCAACAGUGAAAAACCACUAGCACACCUUUUUUGAUUUUUGUUGUGGAUGGCUGCCGAAAGGCGUCCUUCCAUUCCCAAAUCAUUAAAAUUAAAACAACUUUUAACAAUGGAUAUCUUGGCUCCCGUAACGAUGAAGACCGCAGCAAAGCGCGAUAUGUAGUGUGAAUUGCAGAUGUCUGUGAAUCAUCGAACUGUUGAACGCAAGUUGCGCUGCCAAAAGCAGCAUGCCUGUUCGAGUGUCGGUAAUAACAAAACUCAACAAAAUUCUUUUUGUUGGACAUGAGGUAUGUCUGUUGCGCGUUUUACUACUCGCUACAGUCCCUUUCAGUGCAUUGUGACUUUGGGUCUCAGUGAUGACAAGCCGAGCUCAGUGCUGUUCCCCUGCCAACGCGGAAGAACGGAUUUCUGGGCCCUUCUCGCUCUCCCUUCAAUGGAAAGGAGGAUGUUCUUAGGUGCUUCGGCGCAUUUUAGCAUCUUCUGAGUGCAGGAUGGAGACUUGUUGUCGAUUUGCUCCCUGGUCCUUCCUAUUUUGUGAGAGGGUGCGCAAGCAUUCCUUUUGCAGAAAAACUCUAAAACUCGACCUCGAAUCAAGCAAGAAUACCUGCUGAACUUAAGCAUAUUGCUAAGCAGAGGAAAAGAAACUAACAAGGAUUCCCUCAGUAAUGGCGAAUGAAGUGGGAAAAGCUCAGGUUUAAAAUCUGGCGGCUCCGCCGUCCGAAUUGUAGUCUUUAGCGGUGUCAUCGGGCUUGGGUCCCAGCACAAGUUUCUUGGAAUAGAACGCCAGAGAGGGUGAUAGCCCCGUUCAUGGUUGGGAUACACACCGGUCCAUACGUUGACAUCGCCUAGAGUCGGGUUGUUUGGGAAUGCAGCCUCAACUUGGGUCGUAAAUUCGAUCUAAAGCUAAAUAAUGAUGGGAGACCGAUAGCGAACAAGUAGCGCGAGCGAAAGAUGAGAAGCAUCCCGUAAGGGAAGUGAAAAGCACUUGAAAUUGUUAAAAGGGAAGCGAAUGGACCCAGUAUUGACACGCGGACAAGCCACACGGCCUUGCCGGGCAUUUCGACUUCGGGGAGGGGUCCAAAGCCUCACCCGGGGAAAGGAACAACUGGCUCGGCAGUGGUACCUUAGCCGCGCGUUGGUCAACAUCAGUUAGUCUGGUGGGAUAAAGGUCUGCGGAAGGUAGCUCUCCUUUUAGGGGAGUGUUUAGACGUGGAUCUGUACCAUCGGGCUGACUGAGGACUCGCAGGGUGUGCCUCGGCUGGGCUCUGGUGGUUCAUCUGCGGUUACAGUGUGUAGCACUGGUACAGUUCUGCAUGCUGUGGCUGUGGAAUGGCCAUCAACCACACACACUCUACGGAUGUUGACAAAAUGGGCUCAUCCGACCCGUCUUGAAACACGGACCAAGGAGUCUAACAUAUAUGCGAGUAUUUUGGUGGCAAACCAAAGUGCGCAAUGAAAGUGAAGGCCAGUUUGACUGGCUUAGGAGGGAUCUGUCUUCAUUGUGGGGGCAGUGCACCUUCGACCGAUCUGGAGAUUUUUCGAAAGAUUUGAGUAAGAGCAUAUCUGUUGGGACCCGAAAAACGGCGAUCUAUGCCUGCAUAGGGUGAAGCCAGAGGAAACUCUGGUGGAGGCUCGUAGCGAUACUGACGUGCAAAUCGUUCGUCAAAUGUGGGUAUAGGGGCGAAAGACUCAUCGAGCUGUUUAGUAGCUGGUUCCCUC
rnacentral:misc_RNA from 1 species